GGAUCUGUGGCGCAAUGGAUAACGCGUCGGUCUACGGAACCGAAGAUUGUAGGUUCGAAUCCUGCCAGAUUCG
rfam:Rhabditophanes sp. KR3021 genome assembly, scaffold: RSKR_contig0000037